CUAGCGCUACCAUAAUUCGCCUAAAGCAGGUGCAGCCGCUUUCACCCGGCCAGGCCGCCGCGGCGGGCGAGAGAACACCACGUGGAGCGAACUUUAGGGGAAGGAAAGUGGGGACUUGGGGAGAAGACACGGGACUGCGGACCUGAGAAAGCCGG
rnacentral:lncRNA from 1 species